GUGAUGGCCUACCAAGGCGACGACGGGUAGCCGGCCUGAGAGGGCGACCGGCCACACUGGGACUGAGACACGGCCCAGACUCCUACGGGAGGCAGCAGUGGGGAAUAUUGCACAAUGGGCGCAAGCCUGAUGCAGCGACGCCGCGUGAGGGAUGAAGGCCUUCGGGUUGUAAACCUCUUUCAGCAGGGAAGAAGCGCAAGUGACGGUACCUGCAGAAGAAGCGCCGGCUAACUACGUGCCAGCAGCCGCGGUAAUACGUAGGGCGCAAGCGUUGUCCGGAAUUAUUGGGCGUAAAGAGCUCGUAGGCGGUUUGUCGCGUCUGCUGUGAAAACUCGAGGCUCAACCUCGGGCUUGCAGUGGGUACGGGCAGACUAGAGUGCGGUAGGGGAGACUGGAAUUCCUGGUGUAGCGGUGGAAUGCGCAGAUAUCAGGAGGAACACCGAUGGCGAAGGCAGGUCUCUGGGCCGCAACUGACGCUGAGGAGCGAAAGCAUGGGGAGCGAACAGGAUUAGAUACCCUGGUAGUCCAUGCCGUAAACGUUGGGCACUAGGUGUGGGGCUCAUUCCACGAGUUCCGUGCCGCAGCAAACGCAUUAAGUGCCCCGCCUGGGGAGUACGGCCGCAAGGCUAAAACUCAAAGAAAUUGACGGGGGCCCGCACAAGCGGCGGAGCAUGCGGAUUAAUUCGAUGCAACGCGAAGAACCUUACCAAGGCUUGACAUACACCGGAAACUUCCAGAGAUGGUUGCCCCGCAAGGUCGGUGUACAGGUGGUGCAUGGU
rnacentral:rRNA from 1 species